CACCCACUGUCGGUACCCCAGAUGGAGGUCUCUCCAGGGCCUGCAGGGCUCUGGGGUGUAUUUAUGGGUCCAAAGGCCUGGCUGGGGAGGACAAAGCAUCCCGGUGGCUUCCAGCUCCAUUUCCUGACUCAGGGCAGAGGAGGGCCCCACCCACUCCCAAGCCUUCUCUCCCGGACCCCGGCAGCCACAGGUCACCAGGACCAUCCAGCCUGAGGCCCUCGGCGCAGCCUGGACUAAAGCCACUACACCUAGCUGACGCCUCCUUCCCCUCCCACCAGCCUCCAGAAUCGGUUUUCCAGAAACCACCUCCGACGCUCCAGCAGAGGGAAACAGACACAUUUUCGUUUCAUUAAAGCAACUUGAGUGAAGAUAAAAAAGAAGCUGAAAAAUUAGAUUUAAAAACAGAGAGCGAGAAGCAUUUAAACAAAAUGAAUGAAAAUGAGCUGCCGCGGAGAGCGCCAGGAACCUGCCCCACCUCCGUGCGGCCCGCACCCCUGCAGGGAGACCACAGGGGAGCCGAAGGGGCAGUCAGUGGACGCUCUCGCCUGGUGCCCCCAGAAGACUGAACCGUGGACUCCGGCCUCCCUGAAAAUCGGCCCGCUGGGUGAUAGAGGAACCAAGCUGGAGGGAUUCGGCCCCCCACCCCCACCCCCACCCCGGGGCCAGCAGCAUCCUCUUCCGUCAGGACAAGCCUGGUGGGAGAGCCAGUCUCCCUGGGUUCAAUCCCCAGCUCCACCAACUGCUACCAGCGGUGUGUCCUUGGGCAAGAGUCUUCUGGGUCUCAGUCUCUCCGUCAAUAAAAUGGGAACGAUAA